rnacentral:tRNA from 1 species
CCUGGUGGCUCAGAUGGUAAAGAAUCUGUCUGCAAAGCAGGAGACCCAGGUUCAAUCCCUGGGUCAGGA